rnacentral:rRNA from 1 species
AUUGAACGCUGGCGGCAUGCCUUACACAUGCAAGUCGAGCGGAGAGAGGUAGCUUGCUACUGAUCUUAGCGGCGGACGGGUGAGUAAUGCUUAGGAAUCUGCCUAUUAGUGGGGGACAACAUUUCGAAAGGAAUGCUAAUACCGCAUACGUCCUACGGGAGAAAGCAGGGGAUCUUCGGACCUCGCGCUAAUAGAUGAGCCUAAGUCGGAUUAGCUAGUUGGUGGGGUAAAGGCCUACCAAGGCGACGAUCUGUAGCGGGUCUGAGGGGAUGAUCCGCCACACUGGGACUGAGACACGGCCCAGACUCCUACGGGAGGCAGCAGUGGGGAAUAUUGGACAAUGGGCGCAAGCCUGAUCCAGCCAUGCCGCGUGUGUGAAGAAGGCCUUAUGGUUGUAAAGCACUUUAAGCGAGGAGGAGGCUACUUUAGUUAAUACCUAGAGAUAGUGGACGUUACUCGCAGAAUAAGCACCGGCUAACUCUGUGCCAGCAGCCGCCGUAACAC